GAAGUCAGACACAAACCCAAAAAUAUCCAUGUUGAAGGUGAUAGUGGGACCUCUGGAGAGAACACAUCUUCUUUGGAUGAAGGAAACACUGGAGAUGUGUCCAUCUGCAAUGGAAGGAAAUGAAUCUCUAUUUGCUCAAACAGGAUGUUGUGGAGGACAGUGAUGACAAUGGCAUUGUCCUAAACAUUUCUCCUGAAUUGAAACAAACUGGUGUCUCCAUCACAAUCGUCUACAUCCCUCGAAAAGGACUGGAGUAGAAAUUCAUCAAACAGAAGUGACAGUAGUAAUGCUGAAGAGGAAUUCUACAAAUGCUCUUUGCCACAGCAGCCAUGUUUGUUUUCAUUGACCAGAAAGACUGGCAAGACCUAAAACCACACAGAAAGGGAGGCUUUUCAAAGGUAUGCAGUGGACUAAUGUUGUAGCCACUGGCAUUAAGUCAGUACACCCAUUUUGCAGUUUUGGAUUUAAGAGGCAGACCAUCAAGACCAGUCAGUCACAGUCUAAGACGGCUGUAUUCUCAUGUACGGCAUACUGCCGUUUUAAGGACUGUCCAGUGAAAGUGGAGGUUAAAGAUGAAAAAACCCUGAAGGCUGAUGUGCUUUUCCAAGGAGGUGAGGAGUGCCACAACACAAAGGAAAUAAAAACAAGACCUGUGCGUGGACAGUCCAGAGAUGUAAUAGCAGAAAAACUGGAAACCAAAAUGCCAAGAAGUCUUUAUCUGGAUUCUCUAAAUCAAA